UGGGAUGUAGCUCAACGGUAAAGCACUUGCCCAGCAUGCACAGGCCCUGGGUUCCACUCCCAGCACCACAA
rfam:Ictidomys tridecemlineatus contig030949, whole genome shotgun sequence.